UGAGUAACGCGUGGGAACGUGCCUUUCGGUUCGGGAUAACCCAGGGAAACUUGGGCUAAUACCGGAUACGCCCUUCGGGGGAAAGAUUCAUUGCCGAAAGAUCGGCCCGCGUCGGAUUAGCUAGUUGGUGGGGUAAUGGCCUACCAAGGCGACGAUCCGUAGCUGGUCUGAGAGGAUGACCAGCCACACUGGGACUGAGACACAGCCCAGACUCCUACGGGAGGCAGCAGUGGGGAAUAUUGGACAAUGGGCGCAAGCCUGAUCCAGCCAUGCCGCGUGGGUGAAGAAGGCCUUAGGGUUGUAAACCCCUUUCAGCGGGGAAGAUAAUGACGGUACCCGCAGAAGAAGUCCCGGCUAACUCCGUGCCAGCAGCCGCGGUAAUACGGAGGGGACUAGCGUUGUUCGGAAUUACUGGGCGUAAAGCGCACGUAGGCGGAUUUGUAAGUCAGGGGUGAAAUCCCGGGGCUCAACCCCGGAACUGCCUUUGAUACUGCCAAUCUCGAGUCCGGAAGAGGUGAGUGGAAUUCCUAGUGUAGAGGUGAAAUUCGUAGAUAUCGAGAGGAACACCGGUGGCGAAGGCGGGUCUCUGGACAGUUCCUGACGCUGAGGCACGAAAGCCAGGGGAGCAAACGGGAUUAGAUACCCCGGUAGUCCUGGCC
rnacentral:rRNA from 1 species